CAGAACUUUUGAUCCACUUAUUUCAAGACGAGUUGAAGGCCACAGUCAGAAUUCAAACAUACCAAGGAGGAGAAACUUCAAAUUUCAGAGCAAAAAAGUGAUUGAGAGCAUUGUGAUUGUUUUAAGACUGAAGAAGAGAAACAAAGGACUAGGCUAGAUGUAUCUCCAAAUACUGGAGAGUUGAAGAGGAAACUAGACCCAUCCCCUGCACUCUCAAUGGAAAGAAUUAAAACCAACACAAGGGACAAAAGUAGACAUUUCAGUUCAGCAUGAGUAAGGGAUGGGUCUGUCACUCUAACUAUGGUGAAGAUAAGUGGUGGCCAUGGAGGUGAUGCUAUCUGUUGCCCGAUGUGAGUUGUUGGGAAUAUAAAAUGCAUAAGUCAUAGUUUCUUUCUUCAAGUGACUCUCAAUGCAGUGAGGGAAAGGCAUAAAGGUUGAGACAGCCAUACACAGAAGAAAGCAGCAUGUGUCAUCCGACUUGCUCACUGGGAUCUAAGCUUCUUGGGGACAAAUCUGUUUGAAUCCCUGAUACCUCAUCUGUUCUUGGUGCACAGAAAAGAUUCCAUAUAUUCAUGUUGGCUGAUUUGUACUGACAGUUGCAAGUUUACUCUGGUUGUGAUUUCUGUAUUGGAAUCCUAAAGAGAAGGCAAUUGCAGCAACACAGGAAUGAUACAGGGAUUGUGUAACUGGCAAAAGCAGCCAAGACAAAAGGAUGGAGGUGCAUUUGAGAGGUAUUUCAGGUAUGAAAUUUAUGGGAUUUCUGCGACUGAUGUGAUGUGGGUGGGGGGUGGAACUGGCAAACUUGUUACGGUGAGAAGCUGGUGAGUCAUGGCAACCAAGCAGGAUUUGGAAAUAGAGGGAGUGGAGAAUUUGGACGCUUCAGCAGAGAGAGCCUUGUAUAGGGCAUUUGACACUGAAUAAUGGUUUGUGUAUAGACCACAAUUAUAUGUCAUCAGUGCACACUAGGGUGAAGUUAGUGUGGAUGAAGUCAGCGCAGGCAAGUGGGCAAAGUAAAGUAAGAAGAGUGAGGUUAAGCUCUGGGAAUGCACGUGUUAAGGAGGUUGAAGGUGAACACUAAAUAGGAAGUGAUCCCAAGGAAAGCUCCAGUUGUGAAGGAGUAUACCUACAGAACUCGGCACUGAAACAUGAAGCAGGGUUCCUUCACAAAGAGAUGGCCAGUAUUCAUUGGCAAUACCAUUGUUAACGCUUCCAAUGACAAGACAUAACUGGGGGAAUGGUGAGUAUUGAGUGGACAGAUGGUGAUACAUCUGAAAAACCUUUCAUAGGAACUCUCAGAGUGGGGUAGUCUUUCCAUGUUUAAAACAUACAAAUAAUCUCCCCCAGAUCACUGGCAAUGGGAUGUUCAGAAAAAAGUUUAGAUGGCUAUGUUGAACCAUUUUAUACUAUUGCUUUUUUUUAAUGUGACAUGUCAACAUGAAUGCACAUAUUUGUAUAUUUUCUUUUUUUAAUUUAUUAUUUCUAUAGGGGGCUCUGAGGUUUUAAAAUUUAUGUAUUUCUUCUCCCUCUUCUAGGUUUGACUAAAUGAAAAUAGAAAUUCAUUGUUGAAGGCUGCUUCAUUUAAUCAGUUUGCACAGAAAAAGAUAUGGUCAACCUGACAUUCAAUGCUCAUCUGACAUCUUAUAAUGAUAGGAUGUCUCACUGUAAGGCUUCAUAAGUUCUUAAACUCUUAGUUUACUGUGUGUUUUGUGUACUGAACCAAACAUAGACAUAAACAAAUAUAUGGAAAUACAUUCAUUUCUUUUUCUC
rnacentral:lncRNA from 1 species